UGUUAAAAAUUACAUCUAUUUGUACUGUUAAAAACUGGUGUAUGCAAUAUGGCGUGCCAUAUUUACCUCAUGUUAAGGUACAAUGACCAGUUUUCAACAGCAAAAAUGGAUGAAAUUUUAAACA
rfam:Gossypium hirsutum cultivar TM-1 unplaced genomic scaffold scaffold613.1, whole genome shotgun sequence